AUUGAACGCUGGCGGCAGGCCUAACCCAUGCCAGUCGAGCGAGCGGCGGACGGGUGAGUACUGGCAGGGAAACUGCCUGAUGGAGGGGGAUAACUGCUGGAAACGGUAGCUACUACUACAUACCAUCAGACGUGCCCAGAUGGGAUUAGCUGGUAGGUUGGGUACUGGCGAAACUAGGCGACGAUCACUAGCUGGUCUGAGAGGAUGACCAGGCACACUGGAACUGAGACACGGUCCAGACUCCUACGUGAGGCAGCAGUGUGGAAUAUUGCACAAUGGGCGAAAGCCUGAUGCAGCCAUGCCGCGUGUAUGAAGAAGGCCUUCGGGUUGUAAAGUACUUUCAGCGAGGAGGCGUUACUCGCAGAAGAAGCACCGGCUAACUCCGUGCCAGCAGCCGCGGUAAUAC
rnacentral:rRNA from 1 species